GACCGAUGUGAGUUGGCUAAUAUUAUG
rnacentral:piRNA from 1 species